rnacentral:tRNA from 1 species
AGGGCAUAGCUCAGUGGUAGAGUGCGUGCUUAGCAUGCAUGAGGUCCUGGGUUCAAUCCCCAGUACCUCUA